CAGGAAGAACAUCAGCAGAUCAUCCAGGGGGAGGGAUCCAGAUCUGGCUGCUGCAGAUGGCUAAGAAGGUGAUCCACACCGCCGGGCAAGCAUCCCAGCAUCCUUUCCAUCCAGUCCCUCUGUCGCCACUGACAGAAAGACUCCGUUACAUCCACACAUGCCUAGACCAUAACCCUCGUAUGGUUUCAUAAGAAAAUGAGGUGUGUCCAACUGCAUGCAUUUCUGUUCAAAUACGUUUCAGGAAAAUGAAUGGUAAGGUGGCAGAGCAUCGCCAUGCAAAUAAAUGGUUCAGCAUCA